rnacentral:rRNA from 1 species
CCUACGGGAGGCAGCAGUGGGGAAUAUUGGGCAAUGGGCGAAAGCCUGACCCAGCAAUGCCGCGUGAAUGAAGAAGUAUUUCGGAUUGUAAAAUUCUGUCCUCUGGGAAGAAAAUAAUGACGGUUCCACAAGAGGAAGCCCCGGCUAACUACGGGCCAGCAGCCGCGGUAAUACGGAGGGGGCGAGCGUUGUCCGGAAUUACUGGGCGUAAAGGGAGCGUAGGCGGUAAUACAAGUCUCAUGUGAAAUACCCGGGCUGAACUUGGGGGUUGCAUGGGAAACUGUAGAGCUUGAGUACAGGAGGGGCAGGCGGAAUUCCUGGUGUAGCGGUGAAAUGCAUAGAUAUUAGGAGGAACACCAGUGGCGAAGGCGGCUUGCUGGACUGAAACGGACGCUGAGGCUCGAAAGCGUGGGGAGCAAACAGGAUUAGAUACCCCAGUAGUC